rnacentral:rRNA from 1 species
GACGAACCGAGCGAACGUUAUUCGGAAUCACUGGGCUUAAAGGGUGCGUAGGCGGGCACGCGAGUCAGGGGUGAAAUCCCACGGCCCAACCGUGGAAGUGCCUCUGAUACCGCGAGCCUCGAGGGGGAUAGGGGCGUGCGGAACUUCCGGUGGAGCGGUGAAAUGCGUAGAUAUCGCUUGGAACGCCAAAGGUGAAAACAGGUUGCUGGGGAUGCGCUGACACUGAGACGCGAAAGCCAGGGGAGCGAACGGG